ensembl:lncRNA
AACCACCCUUAAACCAUCCAUGACCAAAAUGUCUCUUCAAAAUUGAUUCGGUUUACAUGGAUCCAUUAUGAUCGUCACAUCUGGCCACAUCUGGCCACUUCUGGCUGUAGUAACGCAUUUCAGAAGUUGGAGUUCUCCUGACCUCCAGUGUUGGUCGUGAAAACUACAAAAACGGCACACUUUUACACAUAUUGAUUUCAUCUGAUACACACAUACACACUCCUGCAGACACCAACACUCAUAUAGAAACUAAAGGUAUUCCUCAGCUGGAGGAGACAUGUGCCACCUGCAUGUAGGUCAAAGCAUUAUCCGGAGG